rfam:Rodentibacter heylii strain 1998236014 contig_6, whole genome shotgun sequence.
UCACCACCAUCAUUUUCCUGAAUAGUCUUUCGGGCAUUUGGUGUGUUCGGAAGAAAACUUCCGAGUACGAGUAAACCCAAGCUUAUUCACAACCCCUCGGAAGGAAUUUCGAGGGGUUUUUCUU